GACAGAGGAGCCAAGCGUUGUCCGGACUGACUGGGCGUAAAGCGCACGCAGGCGGUGCGGUAAGUGGGGGGUGAAAGCGGUCGGCUCAACCGACCGAGGCCAUCUCAGACUGCCGUACUCGAGCGCUGCAGAGGGUGGUGGAAUUGCCGGUGUAGUGGUGAAAUGCGUAGAGCUCGGGAAGAACAUCGGUGGCGAAAGCGCUCUGCUGGACUGCAACUGACACUCAGGGACGAAAGCUAGGGGAGCGAAUGGG
rnacentral:rRNA from 1 species